GCUGGCGGCGCGCUUAACACAUGCAAGUCGAGCGAGAACCAGUCCUUCGGGACUGGGGACAGCGGCGAACGGGUGAGUAACACGUGGGUAAUCCACCCUCGGCACCGGGAUAGCCCGGGGAAACCCGGAUUAAUACCGGAUGGCCCAACAGCUUUUCGGAGCGGUUGGAAAAGGUAGCUUCGGCCUCCGGCCGAGGACGAGCCCGCGGCGGAUUAGCUUGUUGGUGAGGUAACGGCUCACCAAGGCGACGAUCCGUAGCUGGUCUGAGAGGACGAUCAGCCACACUGGGACUGAGACACGGCCCAGACUCCUACGGGAGGCAGCAGUGGGGAAUCUUGCGCAAUGGGCGAAAGCCUGACGCAGCGACGCCGCGUGAGGGAAGAAGGCUCUCGGGUUGUAAACCUCUUUCAGAANGGACGAAGCUCCUCGGGUGAAUAGCCCAGAGGGUGACGGUACCUUCGGAAGAAGCCCCGGCUAACUACGUGCCAGCAGCCCGCGGUAAUACGUAGGGGGCAAGCGUUGUCCGGAUUUAUUGGGCGUAAAGAGCGUGUAGGCGGCUAAAUAGGUCCCGUUGNG
rnacentral:rRNA from 1 species